rfam:Bdellovibrionales bacterium RIFOXYC1_FTLL_37_79 rifoxyc1_full_scaffold_35, whole genome shotgun sequence.
GGCCUCAUAGUUAAAUGGACAUAACGGAGCAUUCCUAAUGCUCAAUUCGUGGUUCGAUUCCACGUGGGGCUA